rnacentral:lncRNA from 1 species
UUUCCUGGUUGGUGUCGCCAUAAUAUGUCAAGAUUCUGUUGGAUUUACUGCCAACAAAAAAUGCUGUCAGGGAUGCCUGACCUUCGUUGACGUGUACUUCACCGACAAGUUAAUCAACGGUUGAAAAAUCCUGUGGGGUAUACUAUCAAGGCUGCUUGACCUUCGCUGACGUGUGAAUAAACAGAGCAUUCUAUGGGUAGAUUGUCAAGGUUGCUUGACUUUCGCUGACAUGUGAAUCAACGGAACAUUGCG